rfam:Brachypodium distachyon strain Bd21 chromosome 3, whole genome shotgun sequence.
AACAUGCUUCCUCCGUCCAACAGAGAAUGUCUCAACUUAACUAAAUUUGAAUGCAUGCAUAUACUAAGUCAUGUUACAUACAUACAAAUUUUGACAAACUUGAGACAUCUUUUAUUGGACGGAGGGAGUAUUGU